rnacentral:rRNA from 1 species
AUUGAACGCUGGCGGCAUGCCUUACACAUGCAAGUCGAACGGCAGCACGGGAGCAAUCCUGGUGGCGAGUGGCGAACGGGUGAGUAAUGUAUCGGAACGUGCCCAGUCGUGGGGGAUAACGCAGCGAAAGCUGUGCUAAUACCGCAUACGAUCUAUGGAUGAAAGCGGGGGAUCGCAAGACCUCGCGCGAUUGGAGCGGCCGAUAUCAGAUUAGCUAGUUGGUGGGGUAAAAGCUUACCAAGGCGACGAUCUGUAGCUGGUCUGAGAGGACGACCAGCCACACUGGAACUGAGACACGGUCCAGACUCCUACGGGAGGCAGCAGUGGGGAAUUUUGGACAAUGGGCGCAAGCCUGAUCCAGCAAUGCCGCGUGCAGGAUGAAGGCCUUCGGGUUGUAAACUGCUUUUGUACGGAGCGAAAAGGCUCUCUCUAAUACAGGGGGCUCAUGACGGUACCGUAAGAAUAAGCACCGGCUAACUACGUGCCAGCCGCCGCGGUAACAC